AUGGGUGCUAGCUUGUAUGGCUAUAUAGAUCAAACCCUAGAGGAGCCUCCCAAAACCAUCACCACAAAAGAUAAAGAGGGCAAGGACCAGGUGAUCCCGAACCCUGCCUAUGCCCCAUGGUUCGUCCAGGAUCAGCAAAUCAUCGCGUACCUCCUUCGCAAUCUCUCCAAAGAGGUGCUCGUUCAGGUCGCGUCGAUGGAAACCUCGCAUGCCAUCUAG
rnacentral:rRNA from 1 species